GCUGACCUGCCGUAACUUACCU
rnacentral:siRNA from 1 species